rnacentral:rRNA from 1 species
CGCGUAGGCGGCCAAGCAAGUCGGAGGUGAAAUCCCUCGGCUCAACCGGGGAACUGCCCCCGAUACUGCUUGGCUCGAGUCCCGGAGAGGGUAGUGGAAUUCCCAGUGUAGCGGUGAAAUGCGUAGAUAUUGGGAGGAACACCUGUGGCGAAGGCGGCUACCUGGACGGGUACUGACGCUGAGGCGCGAAAGCGUGGGGAAGCAAAACA